GCGACCUGUCCGGAAGUGGGGAAUAACUGCCCGAAAGGGUGGCUAAUACCGCAUGUGGUCGGCGAUUCGCUUCGCCGUCCAAAGCCGUAAGGCGCUUCCGGAGGGGCCUGCGUCCGAUUAGCUAGUUGGAGGGGUAGCGGCUCACCAAGGCGACGAUCGGUAGCUGGUCUGAGAGGAUGAUCAGCCAGACUGGGACUGAGAUACGGCCCAGACUCCUACGGGAGGCAGCAGUCGGGAAUUUUGCCCAAUGGACGAAAGUCUGAGGCAGCAACUCCGCGUGAGGGACGAAGGCUCUCGGGUCGUAAACCUCUUUUCUCAGGGAAGAUACAAGACGGUACCUGAGGAAUAAGCCACGGCUAACUACGUGCCAGCAGCCGCGGUAAUACGUAGGUGGCGAGCGUUGUCCGGAAUUACUGGGCGUAAAGAGCGCGCAGGCGGCUGACCAAGUCCGAUGUGAAAGCUCCCGGCUCAACUGGGAAAUUGCAUCGGAAACUGAUCGGCUUGAAGGUGGGAGAGGGUAGCGGAAUUCCCGGUGUAGUGGUGAAAUGCGUAGAUAUCGGGAGGAACACCAGUGGCGAAGGCGGCUACCUGGCCCAUUCUUGACGCUGAGGCGCGAAAGCUAGGGGAGCAAACGGGAUUAGAUACCCCGGUAGUCCUAGCCGUAAACGAUGAACACUAGGCGUAGUCGGUAUCGACCCCGGCUGUGCCGUA
rnacentral:rRNA from 1 species